AUUGAACGCUGGCGGCAGGCCUAACACAUGCAAGUCGAACGGUAACAGGAAGCAGCUUGCUGCUUUGCUGACGAGUGGCGGACGGGUGAGUAAUGUCUGGGAAACUGCCCGAUGGAGGGGGAUAACUACUGGAAACGGUAGCUAAUACCGCAUAACGUCGCAAGACCAAAGAGGGGGACCUUAGGGCCUCUUGCCAUCGGAUGUGCCCAGAUGGGAUUAGCUAGUAGGUGGGGUAACGGAUCACCUAGGCGACGAUCCCUAGCUGGUCUGAGAGGAUGACCAGCCACACUGGAACUGAGACACGGUCCAGACUCCUACGGGAGGCAGCAGUGGGGAAUAUUGCACAAUGGGCGCAAGCCUGAUGCAGCCAUGCCGCGUGUAUGAAGAAGGCCUUCGGGUUGUAAAGUACUUUCAGCGGGGAGGAAGGGAGUAAAGUUAAUACCUUUGCUCAUUGACGUUACCCGCAGAAGAAGCACCGGCUAACUCCGUG
rnacentral:rRNA from 1 species